rnacentral:tRNA from 1 species
GGUACGUGGCUCAGUGGCAGAGUGCUUGCCUUGCAUGCAUGAGGCUCUGGGUUCGAUUCCUCAGCACCA